ACGAUGCGAAUCUUCUCUGGUUUCAUC
rnacentral:piRNA from 1 species